CACAAACCUUUCAUGUCAUCCUAUCUCUUAAAAAACGUCCUAAAAGGAAUACUCCGCACUGACGGCCCUCCAACAGCCAAAAGACAACCAAUUGACGGCACUAAAUUUAAGGAUCUAUCAGAUCUAUUAGAUUCCAACCCAUUCGAACCUAGUACUAACAGCGUACUCCAGACGGCUAUGUACAUAGCGUUCUACGGGUUUUUACGGCCCAAUUAAUUCACG